ensembl:lncRNA
AUGGAUAUGAUGGUGAAAUGGCUCCCUCCGGUUCAAAUAUUGAGCAGCAAGCCUUUGACGGUAUUAAUACAUCGGCCGCGAUUGAUCCAGACAUUGCAGCCGAUGGUACUUCACCAUGUUAAACAGCCAAUUAAACAAAUACGGAAAGGCCUUAAACAAACAGGAAUCUGGCCACUUCUUUUAGAUAGGCCAGAUGUCCACCCCUUAAUUUUCCCAAGGGAGUCAAGUGAGGAGCUUAACCCACAGACCGUGAUCCAGAGCAUUACCUGGCCACAACCCAAUGUUGACAGCGACAAGGAUGAGGACGACACUGUUCCAUUGGAGAAAAUCAGUCUUGUCACUGGAUUUUUGAGAAAAUUCAUAGAGGAAGCGUCACCAGAUGUGCUGCGUGACCUGAUGAAGUUUUGGGUGGGGUGGGAACUGCCAACAACAAAACUCAAUGUUGAGGUUGUGACCUCAACUUAUCCAGUGGCUCACACCUGCUUCUUCAAGUUGAAGCUCCCCAGCCACUACCAGACCUACAAGAUUUUUCACCAGGACUUGAUGAUGGCCCUCAGUUCUUCUCUUUGAGAGCUGUGGCAGCUUUCUUGGCCUCUCUAGUUCAUUAAGCUCAGACUUCCAUAGACAUUUAGUUGUAAUUAUUGAACAGUUUAUACAGCUAGUACAUGUUUAAUACAUUCAGAUAUUUAGGUAGAUACUAGUUUCUCCAGUGUUACUGUUGCCCUUUUACAGUAAUGUUCUAAAUGAUUAAUGUUCUAACAAUGUUGGUUUUGUAAAGCCGAUUUGUCUAAAUUUGUUACCCCUUUACAGUGAUGUGUUGUAAAUACAACUGUACUGCUACAUUUGUUAAAUUUACACAAGACUUGUGUUCCCUUGAACAACAUUAAAGGUGUUAAACAAGCAUUUUUAUGGUCUUAUUCUUU